AGAGUUUGAUCAUGGCUCAGGACGAACGCUGGCGGCGUGCUUAACACAUGCAAGUCGAACGGAAAGGCCCUUCGGGGUACUCGAGUGGCGAACGGGUGAGUAACACGUGGGUGAUCUGCCCUGCACUUUGGGAUAAGCCUGGGAAACUGGGUCUAAUACUGAAUAGGACCACGCGCUUCAUGGUGUGUGGUGGAAAGCUUUUGCGGUGUGGGAUGGGCCCGCGGCCUAUCAGCUUGUUGGUGGGGUAAUGGCCUACCAAGGCGACGACGGGUAGCCGGCCUGAGAGGGUGACCGGCCACACUGGGACUGAGAUACGGCCCAGACUCCUACGGGAGGCAGCAGUGGGGAAUAUUGCACAAUGGGCGCAAGCCUGAUGCAGCGACGCCGCGUGAGGGAUGACGGCCUUCGGGUUGUAAACCUCUUUCAAUAGGGACGAAGCGCAAGUGACGGUACCUAUAGAAGAAGCACCGGCCAACUACGUGCCAGCAGCCGCGGUAAUACGUAGGGUGCGAGCGUUGUCCGGAAUUACUGGGCGUAAAGAGCUCGUAGGUGGUUUGUCGCGUUGUUCGUGAAAACUCACAGCUUAACUGUGGGCGUGCGGGCGAUACGGGCAGACUAGAGUACUGCAGGGGAGACUGGAAUUCCUGGUGUAGCGGUGGAAUGCGCAGAUAUCAGGAGGAACACCGGUGGCGAAGGCGGGUCUCUGGGCAGUAACUGACGCUGAGGAGCGAAAGCGUGGGGAGCGAACAGGAUUAGAUACCCUGGUAGUCCAA
rnacentral:rRNA from 1 species